rnacentral:lncRNA from 1 species
CUGUGCGCUGCAUGAAGAGGGACCUCUGACCACGAGAACUAUGAGGCUCUUCACAGUGGCAGAGUGAUUGCCUCUGAAGGGGAAGAACUUGGGAAAUGGGCUGGAUUGAGCCACUUUAUCAGGUAAUGGUAGAAGAAGGUCUUGUGGAGGUUUUUUUUUCUAUAUCCUUAUCUGCAAAGCUUGGCCAAGGACAAGGGCUUCAGGGAAGAAACGGGCUUGUGUGAGGUGGGAAGAAAAAUAUCUCUCUUAUCCUUUAAGUUCACUGUCUAGGGCUUGCAAAUGAAAGAAAUGGAAGUUGUAUGAACUAAAGCAAGCCUACAUUUACACGUGCAUUUCAUGUGAGGUUAGGCAUGCUCUUUUCUGACAGACUCAAAGGGGAACUUGAGCUCUGUGGAAAGUCAGGAAGGCCUCUGCAAUUGCAAGCAGGCCAAUGAGAGAGAAGAAACCAUGAGAGUUCGUUCAUCUGUACAGGUUUAUCUCCAGCCCUCAUCCUGGCUGUGGGUGUUCCAGGAGAGGAGCCCCAUGGCAGGCUUGCCCCUGGCCGCUCUCCCAGAGUCACAGACGUGGCAACUACAUUUCCCAGCAACCCCUGCUUGCUAGAUGGCCAGUGAAGCUCCCAGGAGGCUUCUCUCUGUAUCUAUUAUAUCUGAUAUCUCUUCAGAUGAAAUAUUCGUUCCAAUUCUGGGGUCCUUAGACUAAACUUGACCAGGCUAGAUCUGAACAUUAAUCAAGCUGUUUGAUUAAAAAUAAGUUUUUUGUUUGUUUGUUUUUGUUUGUUUGUUUGUUUGUUUUAACAGCAAACCGGGAAGGUGGGUUCUUUGGGAUGGGUUCCAUUGCAGCACUAAGGAAAUGACAGAUCUUGGGUGAUGAGCAUCAAUGAUAUUCAGGUACCCUUAGAAGUAGGUGUGGCCAGUGGGGCAACCAUCCAUCCUUCUCACAAAUGCUGCAGAGUGUGGCAGACCCAAGGCCAUUUCAUCUUUUCCUUUCAGGAAAAUGCUCUGACGACAACAUCCUCCUAUCUUCUGGCCCUGGAGUCCCUGUCUGCCCCUUACCUGAGGAGCCUGCCCAUAUCACAUCUUUUGAGCCACCUCCAAAGUAGGUGUCAUAGCAAAGAAGAGGGAACUUCUCAGAAACAGAAUGCCAAUGGGGUUGGUAGAAUAAAAUCUAAGAAAGCAUCACAGGACUUUGUAGCUAGCCUUUGCUACUUUAUGAAUUCUUCUUUUUCUCACUCCUUAUACCCCACACCCCCCAACACCCAGUCUCACUCGCUAACCCUAGAUAGGAUAAAAACAAGGAUAAAGGGGACAAAACUGUUAGGAAAAUCCCUGAAUCUAUUUUCUUUCCUUUUAUUCUUCCUUGACCAUGGUACUAACAAAUCAUAAACAGCCUGUCUAAAUGGCCAACAACCACCCACCCCACCUCUCAGGGCCCUAUUUAUGUACCCUCUGAGAAGUUCCCAGAAUCCCAAACAUUACACAAUUGCAGAAAUUUUCUGCAGCUGGCAACAACAGCUUCUGCUAGAGCAUGAGGCAAAUCAUAGUCAGCUGCUGCAGACCGCCCAAAGCAGCCCCGCAUUCCUACACACCUGAGGUUAAAACAAAAGCAUAUUCUUAUAAUAUCUCCAUGUUUUUAAAAGAAACCAAAAUUCAAGAAUUCUCAAAACUGUCAAUACAGGACUUCUGGGCACUGAUCUUCCCCCGUGAUAAAGAUGUGUGACUAGAAGGAACACAGACUGCAGGCCUUUCUUAGUAGGGUCACCAUGUAGAGGCUGCUAACUCUUGCUGUCCUGGGGACUAUAAAAAGUCUCCUGGCUUUCCCAGUGGGCAAACAUUGGUGUGGGAAGGCUCAGAGCAGCACUCAGUCUCUCAGCUAAGUCAAGAUAGACUCUUUACUUUUUUGUUACAGGCAAAUGUCUCAUGGGUGAAUUCUAGGUCUUUCUAGAGACUGUUCUCUGUCCAAGCCAUAUAGUCACUGAUCUCUCUGGGAAAGACUCUGAGAUACAGGGAUUGGGUAUUUGGGGAUAGUCUGGGGAAGGAGGGAGCUACUGGGAGAGCAAAUCCAGAAGCUCUGGGCAGCUGACAUUGGGCUGGGCAAGACAAGGAUGAAGGAAGGUCUGGAAGCUGAGACCAACAUCCAAACAGAGAACAGGGUUUGGCCAUGAGAAAGCUAUGCCCAGUUCAGUAGUUGCUUGCACAGAUACACAGAACAGCUGUAUCUGCAGACAGGUUGGAGGCCACAGUCCACCCAGGCUAGCCUAGCAUCAGGGAACAGAAGAGGGGAAUAGAGGAGGAAGCCAGAGCCGAGGUGACUUAGAGAGUACCCCUUUUCUUCCACUGAAUAUGUCCAGAGUGGCACUGGCAGGCUACCCCUGUGCCUAGGACACUUGUCACAUGUUCUAGUUUCUUUCAUGAUAAACACCAAGACUAAACGCAUCUUUGGGGAAGAUAAGGUUUAUGUCAUCUUAAAAUUUCCAUCACAAAGGGAAAUCAGGACAGGAACGUGGAUGCAGGAACUGAAAUAGAGGCCAUGGUGGUGUGCUGCUUACUGGCUUGCUCUCAAAGCACACUCAGCUCUUUUUUAUAACCCAGAACCUACCAAAGGGUGACACUGCCCACAGUAGACCUUCCCUCAUCAAUC